rnacentral:rRNA from 1 species
GAUGAACGCUGGCGGCGUGCCUAAUACAUGCAAGUCGAGCGAACAGACGAGGAGCUUGCUCCUCUGACGUUAGCGGCGGACGGGUGAGUAACACGUGGAUAACCUACCUAUAAGACUGGGAUAACUUCGGGAAACCGGAGCUAAUACCGGAUAAUAUAUUGAACCGCAUGGUUCAAUAGCGAAAGACGGUUUUGCUGUCACUUAUAGAUGGAUCCGCGCCGCAUUAGCUAGUUGGUAAGGUAACGGCUUACCAAGGCAACGAUGCGUAGCCGACCUGAGAGGGUGAUCGGCCACACUGGAACUGUGACACGGUCCAGACUCCUACGGGAGGCAGCAGUAGGGAAUCUUCCGCAAUGGGCGAAAGCCUGACGGAGCAACGCCGCGUGAGUGAUGAAGGUCUUCGGAUCGUAAAACUCUGUUAUUAGGGAAGAACAAAUGUGUAAGUAACUAUGCACGUCUUGACGGUACCUAAUCAGAAAGCCACGGCUAACUACGUG